AUUGAACGCUGGCGGCAGACCUAACACAUGCAAGUCGAACGAGUGGCGGACGGGUGAGUAAUGUCUGGGAAACUGCCUGAUGGAGGGGGAUAACUACUGGAAACGGUAGCUAAUACCGCAUACCAUCGGAUGUGCCCAGAUGGGAUUAGCUAGUAGGUGGGGUGACGGCUCACCUAGGCCAAGAUCCCUAGCUGGUCUGAGAGGAUGAACAGCCACACCGGAACGGAGACACGGUCCAGACUCCUACGGGAGGCAGCAGUGGGGAAUAUUGCACAAGUGGCGCAAGCCUGAUGCAGCCAUGCCGCGUGUAUGAAGAAGGCCGUCGGGUUGUAAAGUAAUUUCAGUGGGGAGGAGUUACCCGCAGAAGAAGCACCGGCUAACUCCGUGCCAGCAGCCGCGGUAAUUC
rnacentral:rRNA from 1 species